CAUAACUUCUUCUCUUCAAUAUUCACCUUUGUAAUUAUAAUAUUACAUUUUUAUGGUGGUUUUUAUGUUAAAUAUUUUAAAUGUGAACUAAUCUUUCAGAAACAAAAGCUGGGGAUAUCUCUAGUGAUGGAUGACUUUGGCAAGGAUGGUGAAUAACACUAAAUUCAGCAUACUGUGGAUUUAUGUUAAAGAAAAGUAUCCUCCUUCAUGAUAGCAUCCCACAGUACACCCAUUAUGAAGCCCCAAAUUCAUAUUUUCAAAUCAGUUAGAUAACCACAAAAACUCUGGUGAAUAGAGUCAAAAACUUUCAAACACAUGUGUAAUCAAACAUGUGGGACUUCAUUCAUGUUUCAUUUCACUCAACAAAGUUGACAAAAUAAUGAAUUAAAUGUUAAUUUUCAAUUUCAAGCACAAUACAAAAGAUACUUCUAUUUUCAAUAUAAAUAAUACUUUAUUAGAUAAAUCUAAGACAAUAUAAACUAAUCUAACACAUGGACAUACACACUCACACAUUCACAAGUUGCAGGAAUAAAGAAAUGAGGAAAGAAUGAGAUUAAAGAGAGUGAAAAUGUGAAGUCCCAAGUUUAUAGCAAUAUAUGCAAUUGCUUAGACCUGAACAACCAUCAAUCAUUUAAUUAAGAACAAUGCAAAUUAAAUGCACCAGCUCAGUUAGAAUCUGGAGGAACUUGAACUGCUUGUUUGGGGGAUUCCCUUGUUGCUGUCAUUGCAGAAAAGGGGUUUCCCAAGUUUGAUGAUUGAUUGAAAGUCCAGUAGUCUUUUGAAGUGAAAUUUUGGGAAGCCAAUGGUUGGGUGUUGGAUGAAGAUACAGAGUUGAAGUUUUGAGGUGUACACAGAUGCGAGGUUGGACUCGGAGACACUGCGUUGUGGCAAAACUUAACUCAGAACACAAAACUCUCAACAGAAAAGAAAAAGAAAGAGAAUAAGAGUGUGAUAGGACUGGAUUAAUUUCUCCUCAUGAUUUACAGAUCAGCUGGCAGGUGUCUUGACCAAUUAGACACUGUUUUAGCAUGGGGUAUUACUAUGUUUCCCCUCCAAAUACAUAAAUCUACAUGGUCACUUGGUACAAAUUUUCCCCCUCUUGCAGAGUAUAAUUUGGACAUGAUUUCUUUACCAAUAAUAUUAUACAUUUUACUAAGAAUUGAUUGAUAAAAACAUUUAAAGUGAGAGGUGUUUAUGGACAUUGUUGCAUGUUUUUUCCAUGGUGUAUGUAACUCUAAACAGAAAAAAAUGGCAGUGUUAUUCUACAUUUACUAUGUAGAGGUAAAAAAUAUUUAAAAUAAGUUUAAAUGAGUUAAAUUCUGCGUCAUUAACUUGACUCUGUUAAGCUCCACCCCUCAGUCCACCCCCUGCAAAGAUCUGAACAGGACAGGAGUUUUCUUUUCUCCAUUUUCUUUUAGCUCCCCCUGACAGGUAAAAUUUUUUAAGUAACGUACUAAAACACGGUUUACAUUUUUUAUGUGAAUAAAUGUACUAGUAUUACUGCAUAGGUUGCAUUAAAGUGAUUAUUACAAUUUCAGUAUGGAUAUCUUUCUUACAGAAACACAUCGAUUUGCUACAGGAGGCCUUUUUUCACCCCCCGGAGACACUUUUUUAUUAAGGAUGGGUGCUUUUUAUUUAAAUUCUUUUGGACUGAUGCACUGCAACACUCACUGAAUGCAUUAAACAGCUUGAAAGAUCAAUUUUUUAUGUAAAUCCGACUUGAUUCGUCUGAAAGAAGAAAGUCAUAUACCUAGGAUGUCUUAAGGUUUGGUAUCCCAGCUGUACCUGAGAAAAUUAACGUUUUUGAAGAGUCAGGGACUGAGGUGGAGGAUGAUGUUCUUGAGGAUGUAGUCAGAGAUUCCUCAGUUGGAAUUCUUACCAUAAAGCAUGGUGCAGCAUUACAUUACCAACAAGGCAGGUGAAAGAAAAAUAUGCCAGAGGAAUAGUGUCUGUUCUCCCUUAAAUCAGUGACCCCUUUUCCAAAAAUGGUUGUGUAAGUGUCAGCUUGAAUUAUAAUUCUUUAAAAUAUAUAGAUACUGAUGGGAUUAUUGAAAGUAUCGAUACUCAAUUGAAAAUAUCGAUACUAAGGUGUUUUUAUUCAAAAGUGAUUUAACAAAAAUAAUGCAUACAAUAUGCAUUAAAUUGGAUGAAUAACCUAUUUUAGCAAAUAAUUGUGUGGGAGGGAUUUUCCUGCUCAUCUGAACCAUAGACUCUAUCUGAACCAUAGACUGUAUAAAAACAUGGACGUAGUGUCCGUGAUGUCAUCCGUAGACUCCUGAAGAGUGUUUUUGAAGCUCAAAGUGUGCAGAGCAGGCCGUCGCCAUCUUGGCAGCGCGUCACCGUGCGACUCUCCCGGACCAUCAAAAAUGGGCAAAAAGGCAGGAGCUACUUGCUGAAGCCACGCCCACCUAGUGCGACGACAGUGUCAGCAGCGGCAAUCCCCCUGUCACUCAAGUGACCACGCACUUAAUUAUGCAGAACUUUAAGUCUUAAUAUAAUUUAAACGGAUGAAUUAUUAAAAAAAAUUCACCCCCCUCACAGUUGUCAUGAAGGGCAAAAUUAGCUAUUUAGACCAAAAUAAUUUUUUGCACCAGGCUGUAAACAUGUUUUUUUUUGCUGUAAAGUUGGGCAUUUUAACCUGGGGAGUCUAUGGAACUGACUCCCUUUUGCAGCCAGCCUCAAGCGGCCAGUCGAUGAAUUGCAGUUUUAGUCGCUUCCUUAUAUAUUGGCCUCACUAGAUAGAACGGGAGGUUGAUGCUCAAUCUGAACACACGCAGAUGUUGCAGAAUCAAUCAGUUACUCAGAACGUUUACUCAAUUCUGACAGUGCAUUUUAAUAGAGCUGCAUUUCCCAAGAGUAGCCUAAAAUAAGAAAACAUUGAAGGUAUUUGGGAAUAGCAGCCCAGAACAAUGUAGAAAAAACAUACAUGUUUGAGUUAUUUCACAAUAAACAUGUUGAAAUUGUACCCUAGUUUGUGAAGUACAUUUAUUAAAUUUGAAUGUUAAAAAGUUAAUAUUGCUCACGUUCUGUUCUGUACUGUUAAUAUAAAUCAUACACUCUCCAAAUAAAAAGGUUGCGUUUUAAUGCAUGCAAUAGCCUAAAACUUGUAGGACCUUGGUGAACAAACACACGAAUAUAGGCUACUGCACAAAUGGCUACACCAUUAAUGAUUAGCUAAAGGGGAACAAUGCUUAGACUGUGUGGACCUGUAUCCUGUCAAGGAAAAAAAUUGCUAAAACCCAAUGUCAGUAUUAAGAGAAGUGAUAAUGUGAUUCCACAACAGAGGACGUUUGUUCCAAAUACCCCCGCUCAUCAGAAAAACGAAUCAUGAGGUAGUCCAUACAGAUGAUUAGAAACAAAGGAUCCAUACAGCCUGUCCCAUGACUCAGCUUCUUGCUUGCUUGUGAAUCUUUCUACUGACUGAACUUUUCAAUAAACAAUCUCAAAAGACAAUCAUUGAGAAAUCUAAAGGGUUAAUUAUAUUCAGAAAUAACAAAUGCUAUGCCUUAUGUGUGUUUGAUAUGCUUAUUGGAAAUUAGAGCUAAAUUUCAUCUGCAGUCCCUGGGCAGGAGUAAACCAAAUUCUCAAUAAAAAUACCAUACAAAUGAAUCAUAAUAGAAUACAAGAAGUAUAAAAACAUCUUCAAAAAUCAUUACCUUGUAUAAUCAAUGAUCACAAACCUGACUUGCCUUUAAAAAUCUUUUCAAAUGUAAUUUAAGAGGGCUUUUACACUGGGCUCGUUUGCUGCGGUCCGAGCCCAAGCGUGAUUGUUCCAGCGCUGGUCUGCUUUCACACUCAAUAGUGUGAACUCGAAUCCUGGUGCGUUUGCAGUCACCUUACGUCAUUGCAAACACACAGGGAAAAUGCCUGGUGAACACAAUGUGACGGAGCAUAGCUGUAAUUUUUUUGUUAUUUUGGUGCUAUUAUGAAGAGCAUAAUAAUUAAGUGCAAUCCUCUUCUGGCUCUCAAUGAAGGCGGUCGCAUUUUCUUUCCCUCUCCUCUCCCUUACCUUCCUGCUUUGCUCCUCUUGUCUCGUAUACUCUUAGAGAAUCUCUCCACACAGCUCUCCAACUAAAAGGGAAGAAGCUCACAGCUUUGGAAAAGCAAUUGGAUCGAUCGGAGACCAGAAAUGGACAAAGACAGUAGCCAUGGAAUUGGAAUAUGUUUGUAUAACAAGGAACGUCUGCUGCAGGGGGGUCCGGUGGAUGGUCAGAGUUUCAUCCAGAGACCUUCUUGGGUGAGGAUGAAUGCGAGGAAGUAAUUACAUUCAUUGAGCCAUUCUUCUGAUAAAGAAACCAUCAAGUAGAAAAGGAAAUGGACAUUUCAUUAUCGCCGCAACAUGGUUCUUGAGCCCAUGCAGUCAAGUGAUAUAUUGUCUUUCCUCCAUUCAAAGACAUUAAAAGCUUGAUUGAGCAAGACUUUGUUCCGAUGUUUGGAAGAAGGAGUUUCAGGCAAGCUAUUGGAGAAGUGGACCACUGAAUUCAAGAAAAAAAGUGAUUCAGCAGUGCAAAAAGCUUCCAAGCACCAGUGAUUUUGGAAGAACUACUGCUAGCAUCUGACUCUCCUACUGGUGACUCAGAAUAAUUUUGCUGAAAAGUUGCUGGGUUAAGUCAGUAUGCUAUAAGUGGUUUUGUUUCAUCUAUGGAGGCAAUAGAUUUUAGAUUCACAGUCAGGCCCAGGAUCACACAGAAGGCAACCCGGCAAUGUUCUGGCAAUUUUCCGGGUCUGACGAGCAGUGUGAAAGGGGCUAUUGACUCAUGGUCCAGGGAAGGUGGUGGAACUCUGUGGACUUAAAGGUGGCAUAGAGAUGGCUUCCAAAUUAGGAGUGGACAUAUCAGAACAUGCCUAUUCUGUAAAGCAGUGGUUUUCAACCUGUGGUAUUUCAGGUGGGCCGCCAAUUACUAAUAAAAUAAAUAAUAAUAUAUUUAAUAUAUAUAUAUAUAUAUAAUUAAAUAACAAAAAAUGAUUUCUAAAUCGCUUUAUAGCAUGAUUUUCCGUGGCCCUGACCUCCCGCAGUAUGCUAUCUGAUCCAAUCAGAAUGUAUUGCGCCAAGCGCUGGAACAGAACAGACUGGACAUAUGGCUAACUCCAUGUUCAAACACUGUCUGUGAUGCGCCUUUUUUCCGAGCCCAUGUUAACAGAUCAGAGCGUUCACAGCACACGCGGUAAAAGGCUGGAAAUAAAAACGUGCGAAAAUAAUUAAUAUCCAGCACAUGAGCAUAGAGAGAGUUGUGAGUGCACAGGACGCAGUUUGAGUGAGAGGAGACACGUUUUAAGUGCUUGCACUCUCUGCGGGCGAGAUCAGCGUGUAUCUGAGCAAGCACAUCUGGUUUUGUGACAGAGCAAAGGAAAUCUGCGUGCGAACAGAGAGAUUUGCACUUGUGCAUUAUUUUAAUGUGCUUCCGCGUUACAAUUACGCGCUCUCUCUACUGCUUCUGCACCGCUCACACAUACUGUAAACACACUGCAGACGGAGUAGGCCUACGUGUGAAACCAGUGUUCAAAUUGUGUCAAAGCUCUUGGGGAAUCCCCACCCCACCCAAAAAAACAACAACAACAACAAAAAAACUAAUAUAUAUUUGUAUUUAUUUUAUAUAAUAAUAUAAUUUAAUUUAGUUGUGAAUUUCAUUUACUUUGUGUUUCAGAACAUGUUUUUGCAGCAGUAUUUACUAUAUGUAAAAUUAAAUUAAAAUUUAUAUACUUUUAAGUGCACAUGUAGGCAUUUUUUUUUUCAUUAAAGUUAUAUAACCCUUUCAUAUUUUCAAGCGGAAGUUGACAUAGUUGGGUAAACUUCUAUAGGAGUGAAUGAGAGACUACAUUAAAUAUAUGUUUUGUCACAAUAGUGUUUCUAAGAGGGAAGAAAUAGAAAGAAUUUAAUACGAUUACGAUGCUGAUGACCCUUAAUCAAUUUCAAUCUCUUGAUUCACUAUCAAUUCACAUGAAUAGGCCUACUGUACUUACUUUUCUUGGGUUAAAUUCAGUAUUUUCUUGCAUGAAUUAAUAUUCUCUUGUGUGUGCUUAUACAAGUAUCUUUUUUAAAAUGUAUAAUUUGAAAAUGUAGUUUUUCAUCAUGUCUAAAUAUUUAUUCAAAUGCAAAACUUAAAAAAUAAAUAAGCAAUUAGGACCUGCAAUACUCUUUUGAGCAACUAGACUAGAUACAUGUAUAUUUAUUAGAGUGAGAAUGGAAUUUCAAAUGGAAAUUAUUAUUUUUCUGGCCACAAAAUGACUUUAAUUUGCCUUUAAUUUAAAACCCUUUUCUCCAUUUAACCUUUAAUACUACACUAGUUGUAUUAGGCUAUACAUAAUAACGGAAAAUAGGAUACAAUUCAUAACAAAAACAGUUGAUCUGCAUGCUUGUCUUUGGCGUAAUAAUCAAUGUGUCUCACGCACAAUUUGUUAGCAACCUUGCUUUGUCAUCGUUGACACAAAAACAAGCCUUCACCUGAUGAACAUGUCCAUCAGUAAUAAUGUCCUUAAUUAAAUUAAAGGAACACUCCGACUCCGAGUAACGUUAGCUGUGCUCCUACGCCUAGUGAGAAUAUAGUUCCCAGUAUUUAUACGAUUAAACAUGGUCUCUGUCUCAUAUAGCCUUGUUAUUUGUACAUGCUGUGACUAUACAGAUCACAACAUGUAAAUAGGAAAAUGUUUGCAUUAUUUUGUAACUUAUUGAGAUUACUAUGCUAUCAGUAUCCAUUAACAUCCAGUCUUUGUGCUAAGCUAGGCUAGCGGUGGGUGCGUCAAAUAACACUUACAGAAUGCACAGAAAUGAAAAAGGUAUGUAUGGACUUAUCUAACACUGGGGGAUACUGUGAAUAAGCUAAAGUCCAAAAAAUUCAGAGUGUUCCUUUAACACUGUUUUUGAACAGUUAGGCCCUGUGUCCACCAAAGCGGUUUUAGGCAGCUGAAAACACAAGGCGCUCUGCUGAAAAACGCCCAGCUGUGAGUGCUUGAGAGCGCUUUUUGUGGGCUGCGUUUUUUUCAGUUUAGACAAUUUGGUUACUACGAUACGGAAUAACCGCUAAACUGUUACUUGUAUCUGAUUUGGUAGAUAAUUUGUUUCUGACUUAAAUGCUCUAGAUGCUCAGAAACCAGCGAUAUAAGUUUUGAUUCCAUUUUUCUUGUUGUUGCACUUGUUGACACGUUAACAAAAUAACAGUUGUGACAGUUGAUUGGUGUGGAAUUUGGCCCGCCCCUCCUGCAGUCUGAUUGGUCAGUGACUAGAAAAUGACAGUGAUGAGCGCAGUGUUUUAUCCAAAGUUGAACAUUAUUCAUCUCUCAGCGCAAGAAAAAAAUGCCCGAACGCUCAGCGCGUGUCACGCUCCUGGUGUUUUAUAAAACGCGGCGUUCCCAUUGAGAGCAACUGAAAAAAUACGCUAGCUGCGGGGAAAAAUGCUUUGAUGAAGAACCCGGCCUUAAGGUUACUAGAUUUAAAAUUAUUUGUUUAUUUCAGAAUGGGUGCAAUGCUAGCUUUUUUUUUUAUUUACAACUAACAAACAGCAUCAUAAUAACUGUUGACAGACCAAGAUUAUAAGAAAAGUGACUGUCCAAUUCUAAGAUAAACACUUAUUCAGUAUCAGUAAAUUAGGUGUACCAAACAAUCUUAAAACAAAUAAAUAUUAUCUUACCAUCAUCGUGAGGUAAAAUAAUGAGGAAGGAUCACUCUGUCAGCCAAUCACACAGCGAUGUUGCGCCCGCAGUCUGUAAAUUCCUUCAGAAAAGGAAUAGUAGCUUUUUAUGGGAGCGGCAGUGCAAUACUUAGAUAAAAAAAAAUAUAAGUCUAUGUCAAAUAUUGUUUCUAUUUUAGUUUUAAUGAAAAACCAGGAGACCCCCCCACCCCCACCCCCCACCCCCAAGGUCAUUUUUUUGGGGGGCCUUAUGGGUGGUUU